rnacentral:misc_RNA from 1 species
AGCAUUGAGGGAAGAAAAUAAAUAGAAAAGCUAAACAUUUGAAAAGAUUCUGAAAAUUUUCAGUAGGGAUGCAUGAAUCCUUUACACCUCAAUCCUUCUUGGCUUGUAAAUAGUGAUUUUGUUGUAACGUCUUGUUCAUAAGCUGAAAGUGAUCGACGGGACUGCCUAGAUGUUGUAGAUAACAAAUGUUCGGCUGGCACUGUGUCUCAAUUCUGUGGAAGCUCUCACGACGACUUAGUGCUGUACAUUUGAU